GUGGGGAAUAUUGGACAAUGGGCGCAAGCCUGAUCCAGCCAUGCCGCGUGAGUGACGAAGGCCUUAGGGUUGUAAAGCUCUUUUGGCGGGGACGAUAAUGACGGUACCCGCAGAAUAAGCCCCGGCUAACUUCGUGCCAGCAGCCGCGGUAAUACGAAGGGGGCUAGCGUUGUUCGGAAUUACUGGGCGUAAAGCGCACGUAGGCGGACUUAUAAGUCAGGGGUGAAAUCCCGGGGCUCAACCUCGGAACUGCCUUUGAUACUGUAAGUCUCGAGUCCGGAAGAGGUGAGUGGAAUUCCUAGUGUAGAGGUGAAAUUCGUAGAUAUUAGGAAGAACACCAGUGGCGAAGGCGGCUCACUGGUCCGGUACUGACGCUGAGGUGCGAAAGCGUGGGGAGCAAACAGGAUUAGAAACCCCUGUAGUCC
rnacentral:rRNA from 1 species